GAUGAACGCUAGCUACAGGCUUAACACAUGCAAGUCGCGGGGCAGCAUGGGGGUUGCUUGCCACCCCUGAUGGCGACCGGCGCACGGGUGAGUAACGCGUAUCCAACCUGCCCUUCACCACGGGAUAACCCGGCGAAAGUCGGACUAAUACCGUAUGUUGUCCAUUGACGGCCUCCGAUUUGGACGAAAUGCUUGGCGGUGAAAGGAUGGGGAUGCGUCCGAUUAGCUUGACGGCGGGGUAACGGCCCACCGUGGCUACGAUCGGUAGGGGUUCUGAGAGGAAGGUCCCCCACACUGGAACUGAGACACGGUCCAGACUCCUACGGGAGGCAGCAGUGAGGAAUAUUGGUCAAUGGGCGUAAGCCUGAACCAGCCAAGUAGCGUGCAGGAUGACGGCCCUAUGGGUUGUAAACUGCUUUUAUGCGGGGAUAAAGUGGCCCACGUGUGGGCUUUUGCAGGUACCGCAUGAAUAAGGACCGGCUAAUUCCGUG
rnacentral:rRNA from 1 species